rnacentral:lncRNA from 1 species
UGCAAAAUGAUGAUUGCCCCAUUCUUUGGCAUCAAAGUAAGCACCAUGGUAGGAAGAUGCGCAUAAUUAGGAGAAAGUUCAAAUGAGAAAUUCUGCAGCAACAAUGAUAUUGCUAUCUUUGCUUCUAAUAAGGUAAAGUUUUGUCCAAGACAAAUUCUAGGACCCCAUCCAAAGGGGAAAUAAGAAACUUGUCCUUUUGUUGCCUUCGCAAUUCCUUCAGCAAACCUUUCGGGUUUGAACUCCUUUGCAUCAUCCCCCCAUAGAUCUUGAUCAUGGUGAAUCAAUACUAUUGGUAGGGCAACAUUUGUUCCUGUGGGCAGCAAAAGUUUUCCAAGUUUCAAAUCCUUUUGAACAGCUCGAUUGAAGUAAAUUACAGGAGGGUAUAACCUUAGUACCUCGUACAAAAUCAUGGUAACCUAUAUGGAAACAAAAGAAUUAUCAGAUAGUACCGAAAAUGAUUAUGUAUUAAUAAUCAUCAAAAUGAAACUAUGUGAUUAAAAAUUAUCUUCUUGUGUCCAAUUUUCACGUGACAUUAAUAAGGAGAUUAUGAAUCUCUCUCUCAAUAAUUGACAUGAUGUCCCUAAUUUCCACAAUUUCCACCCUCCAGGCAUGGUCCUAGCGGGGAUUCAUACGAAUUCAUCUACUACCUAGGUUGACUUAUUUUAUACAAGGUUCGAACCAGAAACCUCAAAUUUGAAAUCACCCCAAUAAUAUCAGUAAAAAAAGAGAUAGAUACAAACUUUAUGUGCCAAGAUCAUUUGAAAUUUGAUUUGUAAUUUGAACAUAAGAGUAAGUAAUACAUACAGUUUUAAGUUGACUUAAUCCUUCGCUGUUUGGAUUUUGGUUCCCAAAAACUUGCAAAACUUCCUGCCUUGCACGUUCUUGCCAUUCAGGAUACCUGCCUAAUAACACCAUUGUCCAAACCAGCAAACUUGAAGUGGUCUCUUGCCCAGCAAGGUAAAACAAUUUGCAUUCAUCUAUCACAUCAUGGGUGGUCAUCCCAAUAUUCUUACUAUUUCCAUGUCCUUGUUUUUCGGCAUGAUUUGAUUGCAAAAGAAUGCCUAAUAAAUCAUCAUUGGUGGCUUCACCAUUCUUCAGUGCUUCUUCUCGUUUUUCAAUGAUUCCCUCAAGUGAAUCACGGAUAUCUCUUUCAAUCUCUUUCAUCCUCCUCUCGGCAGUUGUUGGUAGAAGCCUAGAAAGCACAUUUAUUUAGUGAUGUUAAAUGUGAAGGAAUGCACUUGUUUAAUAAUAUUAGAUUAUAACUUGGGAUGAGAAAUACAGUAAAACAAAAUAUGUAGUUAGUUUUUUUUUUUUUUUUUAAGAAAUGCAUAGAGUUAGUUAUAAAUCAAGUUUCUUGCACAUUCAUUAUUUAGAGUUAUAUGUCACACAUUAGACCUCUUGUGUCCCAUGGUUCCUUUGUCUAGCAUGUUAUGCUUCAGACAACAAAGACUACAGACAUGUAGACAUCAAUCACACAGGCAUAUUAGCAGGCUAACAACAUACAUAAGCUUUCAAACCCACUUCUGGUUAUGUACAAUUAAACUUGAAACACAGUGAUAGUAUACUUGAUAAUGAUAAAAUAAUGGUUAAGGUAGUUUAUAUUAGAAAGGGGUUAUAGGUAGGUAUAUUGUACUAGUUAGAUAUUAAGUAGUUAUUGUCUAAUUGUUGUAGUUAUCUUAUUGUGUGCAUGUAUUAGUAUAUCUAAGGAUUGUAUUAUCUCAUUGUGAAUAUGAAUGAAAAAUAAUAUGCUAAAGAUUAAUAGUGAUACCGCCAUAAUGGAAUGUUCGUGCGUGGUGCUGUCAUCAAAAUAAAUCCCUGCUUCUUUAGAAGUUGAAAUAUUUUUGCUCCUUCUGCAUAGCUGCUUCCAAAUGCUGUUCUAGAAAUUACAUCACAGGUCAAAUUCUGAAGGAAAGGCCAAACAUCAAGCUCACAUGUUCCAUCUGAUGACAAUAAUCCCUUCCAUUUGCUUAUCAUUUCAUUGCAACUGUGAGAAAAUGCAGGCAGCAUACCCUACAGUAUAAAGUAAAUCAUAUUAUAAGAAGAAAAUUUAGAAAUUCAAUUACAAAAUUGAAAUAAUUAGCUAGAGCAAUAACCUUACUUUCAAUUUUUCUAUGUGGAAUGCCGGAUUGACUAUCUUUCGAUGUUUAGCCCAUUUCUCACCCUCUUGGUGUGCUAUACCAACACCGAAAUACUUGGAAAUGGAGAUGAACUUUGAUUUGGGGAAGUCCUCCAUCCUGUUAAAGAUUUCCUUAAUUUGAUCAGGGUCUGUGAUGAUAACACUUGGUGUUGCACCGUCCCAUAAAAAGGAAUUCUUUCCUGCAUAUAUAUCCUUUAUGUUAGAACAACAAAUUAAACCCGACUCCAAAGUAAACAGAUAGAUAAACGCGCAAGAAUGCAAUGCUUGAUUACAAAGUUCUACCAAUUGUGUUUACGUCUCAGAGAGCAAUGUGGCAGUUGUAAUUUUCUAUUAUGCAAUGCUUAAGAUUACAUAGUACAAGAUAAGUUUAAAUACUUCGCUAAGCUCGUUGCUCUUUCAGCUUUACUUGCUCUAUUAUGCUAGAGCAUCUUCCCACUUAUCAGUGAAUAUAAACCAUACUUAACACUUGACUUAUGGAGGACUGGAUAUCUAUUUGUGAUUUGAUAUUAACAUCAAGUCCAUUUCAUGCAUGUUUGGCCCUUGCAUCUGAUAAUAUAAACUAGGUCAAAUGCAUCUAAAGGUCCUUUAAGUUGUUCGUUUUUCCCAAAGUGGUCCUUUAAGUUUCAAAAGUUCCAAACAAGUCCUUUUAAGUUUCAAAAGUCUCAAACAAGUCAUUUUAGUUUUUGAAUCGUUUCAAACAUGUCCUUUUAGAGGAUGAUGGUGAUUAUCCACCAUUUGCCAUGCCUAAAAAGAUGACUAAUUUUAAGUGGGUGUUAGGAGCCAGAUUUGGUACCAAAGAUGAGUUCAAGGAAGCAAUUACCAACUAUGCUAUCUACAAUAGGACUUGUUUGAAACGAUUCAAAAACUAAAAGGACUUAUUUGGAGCUUUUGAAACUUAAAGGACCACUUUAGGAAAAAUGAAAAACUUAAAAAACCUUAAGAUGCAUUUGACCUAUAAACUAAACUCCUAGUUGUGAAGAUUUAGAAAGGAAUUUAGUAUAUGUACCAUAUUUGUGGACAGCUUCAUGAAGAGUUGAGAAGAUAGAUGGUGCAACUUCUUUGGAGAGACCAAUGGAUUUAGAUUUAUCUUCUUGUUGUAACUUCAACAUAUAAUUUUGUUUUGAUUUGUCCUUUAAUACUGAAAGGUUAUAUGGUUCACCUUGAAGACCUUGACCUUUGAGAAGCUUCUCUAACCUCUUUGGCUUAAGCCAAAAAUUGUUGAACAGAUCCCAUGGAAGCACAGCAAGUAGAACUGACAGAACACAGAUGAUUAUUGUUGUUCCUGUGGGAAACACAAACACCUCCAUUUUAGAGUGACAAGUUUUUGCUCAACAUGAAAAUAUGAGAAAUUGUGAAGCAUCAAAAUAGAUCUUUAUCUUUUUUUUGGACGGAUAUCUGCGGAAGAUUCUUUUUCAUGUCGGUAUUGUACUGAGAUUUUUUUCUCGAUCUGGUGUGAAUCCGAGAUCUUAUCUAUAUUAUGUCUUCAUCAAAUGAGCUAAGCUCACGAUUAAAAUAAAGAUACUUGAAUUACGCUUCUCUUUCCUAUUAUUUAAAACAUAUUAGUAAACAUUCCAUUCCUCUCUUCUAAAAAAAACUUGAAUUACAUUCAUCUUCUCUCUUAUGUUAAAAUUUACACUUUACUCCCUCAAUAUUUUUUUUAACAUAAGAGGGGAGAGAGGAGUGUANAUUUUACUUUUCAAAGGAAGAGAAGUAUAUAUUUUAACAUAAGAGGGGAGGAGUAUAAUUCAAUCAUCUUUAAGAGUACGGGAAUGUAAUUUACUCAAAAAUAAAAAGUAAAUAAAAAAAUAAAAGGUAAAUGAUAACUACAAUAAUUCAACCAAUUUUAAUCCAAUAAUAACUACAAUAAGCAACCUAUAUUUGACCCCACUAAUUUGUGUUCUUUUAAUAUUUUUUUCAUUUUCACUUAAUUUGAUUCAAAUUUAAACCCACGGUAUAGACUUCACUUCCAUCAUUCUUCAAUCAAUUUUCAAUCUCUCACCAUUUUCAAAUUCUCCUUGGAUCAAUCUACUUCACCAGCACAUUUUAAUUCGAUUUUUCUUUUUCUGGAUCUAUAAUUUCCUUCCUCCAUUAUUUUUAGAUCUACCAUUUGUUUUUGUAUUCUUUAGCAUUCGUGAAUUAAUCUGUGGAGAAAGUGUGUCUUUGAGACAUUUUCAUGUCUCUGUUCUCUUAUUUUUUUCAAAUUUUCAAAUUUUCUGUUGAGAAUUCAACAAGGUUUUAUUAUUUUUUAAUGGCAAGCAACACACUUUAUGCAUUACUUAAAUAAGCAACUGACACAAAGAAAUAAACAAUGAGAACUUCAGCUGGAUCUCCUCCAACGCUCCAGAACUUAAGGGACGGAACCUUCACAUCCAGCUAGGCAAUAAACAACCUGCAUUGAAGAUGCCCUAAGAAUAUCUUCAAUGAAAAGUCAUUUAUUUAGUUAGCAAAGACCUCUAUUAGAGAAGAAAAAAGUGGGUGUUUAUUAGUUCCGGGUAAAUUAUAUAAGGACUCACUCUUCAAUUUCACAACAUUUCUCUUUUCAAUUUAUUUUUACUUUCUAAAUGCACAUGUUAAAAUACAUAUUAGUGGACUCAUUUAAAGAUUCCUUUUAGUUUAGUAUUAUUGAAGUUAUUGAGUUUUUAAUAAAUACUUUUAUUUAAAAAUAAAAAUAAAUGACGUUGGAAUUUAUUUAAAGAUUCUUUUUAGUUUACUAUCAUUGUGGAUACUUCAAAGGGAUUUGUUAAUAAACUUAAAAGAGAAAGUUUAUUUUAGGAUUGUUAUAUUGAAAACCUUGAAACUUUAAAAAUGUAAUUUUUAUACAUCAAAUUUAUAAUCUAUUUAUAUUUUUUACUUCUUAAUUAGUGUCCUAAGAACACUUAUUAGUUUAACCCAAAAUAAAAAAAUAGUUCAAUUUUGUACAAAAAAGAAUAAAAAAUAGUUCAAUUUUACAUUUGUUAAUAUUAUGCAUACAACUUUGACUUUUGUUUCUUAACCUCAAUUCUUAAAAAAUAAAAAAUAAAAAAAAUCUAUUAAUUCGGAGUUCGGUUGAAGAAAAAUAAAAUUUUGUCAAAUAUUUUUUCAGCCAAUAAUCGAAUCCAAAUAACCCAACAAUCAUAAUUUUCUCAACUUUUAAUCUGGCCUGACCUUAUCCAAAUACAACUAUUUAUGAUAGGGUGAAGAAUUCGCUAAAUGAGACGUCAUAGAUUGAUGAACAAUUCGUGGGUGGACAUAAAGAUUUGGACACUUCAUUUGAUCAACACGCAUAAAAAGAAAAAGUCUUAAUUAAAUAAUCAUUAAUUUUAAAAAGAUUUUAGCAUUUAUACUUUUUUGUGUGUGACCGAAUGAAGUGGCAAAAUUCUUGUGUUCAUGUAAGAAUUAUUUUAGAUUGAUAGCUUUGAAAAGAAUGACCAGAAAUCAAGUUGAUGACAUUCUGCUAAAGGUGGGAGUGAACAAAUGUUAGCUAAUAAGGAAGCUCUGGGAGGAUGAUUCUCAAACAUGCUCAGUCACAUGGACUUAGAUGAUCUCAGAUGGAAUCUUAAGCGUCAUUUGCUUCCUCAUCUUGAUGAAUCUGCCAGAGAUCUAUAUGUUUGUGUCUGAUACUCCUAUAGUGCUUCUGAAGCUUGAUAACAUAGUUAUCUCUGACUCUGACCCAAGACCUCAGAACUCUGCUGAGUUUGUGUCUGCUACUGAGUUUCAACAUUCUUAGCGGAUGUUAGAGCUGAAUUGGCUUCUCGACAUGUUGUUCAAAUUUAAAUGCAGAACCAACUUAAAGGGCAAUUAGAGACUCAAGUUGUAGUGAAGACUCAACCUAUGAAGCACGGACACCUCUUGAACCAGCCGUAUUACGGUGUCCGACACUCCUAUGACACUCGUACGACACGUAUCAGACAACUAAAAUCGGUGUCCUAAAUAAAAUUGUUUUUUCUUUAAUUCAACACUCUUAAGACCGGUGUCUGACACCUAUAUAACACUUAUAAGAGCCGUGUGUCGGACAACUAAGACGAAUAUCUGAAAUAUUUUUUUCUCUCUUGCUUCCACAUUCCGUAGAUACAAGAGUUACAUAUGUUUUGAAAAAUGUUGAUCAACUGGGAGGUUAUAGACAUAUAACAUUUUUAGCUUUUUUGAUAGUAGAUGAAUAAAUAAAUGUCAAAUACUGUGAUAUCUUGUUUUAUAACUUUUUCUAAUGAAAUAAUUUGCUCAAAUUAGAUACUUAUAUAUGUAUUUUGAUUUUCAUUUUAGACUAUCUAUAAAUAAAUUAAUAUAUACAUAAUGGUGUCGGUGUCCUAUAUUUUUUACACUAACAGUGUCGAAGUGUCCAUAUCAGUGUCGUGUCAGGUGUCCGUGUCGGAGUCCAUGUUUCAUAGGACUCAACUGGAUACCAUUCAGCAGCUUCUAAUGACUCUAGUCUCCUAGGAACCCUUUGUUUUUUAAUUUGAACUCUUUAUCACUUGUAUUUAUUUUCUCAGUAUCUUUAAUACAAAUAGUUCUUUUUGUUGAUAACAAAAGGGAGAGUAUAAGAAGUAUAUUAUUAUUUGCUAAAAUUGUCUAAUAAUAUGAUCUUGUAGAAUUUUUAUGCUUCUUAUGCUUAUAAGUCUUAGGAGGGUGCAUACAUGGAAGUGAAAUUGACAAUCAUGUAUCCUAGCUUUUUUUUUUUUUUACGUUGUAUCCUAACUUUAAAUUGAACUAUUUACUUCACUUUUUUUUUUUUUUUUUCAGGUUAUGGUUUUUAUGUGGUGCAUUUAUAGAAAGGAAGAGGAGAUGCAGUCACAUCAAUAACACCAGUGCAAUAUUGCACAUGAUAACCAGCAGUAAAUAUAGACAAGUUUUGAACAAAGCAGCAAUAUAGACAAGCAACGCUAGCAGAAAACAAAAUCAGCAACACUCGAAGAAAAAUAUAGACAUUAGGAGUAGAAAACCUAGGACCCAUUUAUCUUUGAUCCGACGACAUUAAAAAAGCAAUAACGAUUAACCACCAUCGUUAACAAAUUUGUCGCAAUUUAUAAACUCAUCAAUGUGGUUUCCUACAUGAAGCAAUAGUGUCUUAUUCUAAAGAAGUUAAGCUACUAAGUAACUCCAUUAGAUAUGCUCUUACAGUUUAUGCAAAAUGAUGCUUGCCCCAUUUUUUGGCUGCAAAGUAAGCACCGUGAUAGGAACAUGCACAUAAUUAGGAGAAAGUUCGAAUGAGAAAUUCUGCAGCAACAGUGAUAUUGCUAUCUUUGCUUCUAAUAAGGCAAAGUUUUGUCCAAGACAAAUUCUAGGACCCCAUCCAAAAGGGAUAUACGAAACUUGGCCUUUUGUGGCCUUUGCAAUUCCUUCAGAAAACCGUUCAGGAUUGAACUUCUUUGCAUCAUCACCCCAUAGAUCUUGAUCUUGGUGAAUCAAAUGUACUGGUAGCGAAACUUGUGUUCCUCCAGGUAACAAAAGGUUUCCAAGUUUCAAAUCCUUUCGAAGAGCUCGGACUAAGCCAAUUAUAGGUGGGUAUAACCUUAGUACCUCGUACAGAAUCAUGGUAACCUAUGGAAUCAGAAAAGAUUAUGUAUUAAUAUUCAUCAAAAUGAAAUUGUGUGAUUAAAAACGAUCUUCUCACGUCAAAUUUUCAAGUGAAAUUGCUAAGGGUGAUUAUAUAUCUCUCUUUCGACAAUUGACAUGAUCUCCCCUAAUUUCCACAAGUUCCCCACUCCGGGGGAUUCAUGGUCCUAGCGGGGGUUCAUACCAAUUCAUCUCCGACCUAGGUCGACUUACUUUAUACAAGGUUCGAACCAGAAAGCUCAAAUUUGAAAUCACCCCUUUUAUAUCAGUAAAGAGAGAGAUAGUUACAAAACUUCAUGUACUAAGAUCAUUUGAAAUUUAAACAUGAGAAUAAUCGAUACGUACAAUUUUAAGUUGACUUAGUCCUUCGAAGUUUGGAUUUUGGUUCCCAAAAACUUGCAAAACUUCCUGCCUUGCACGUUCUUGCCAUUCAGGAUACCUGCCUAAUAACACCAUUGUCCAAACCAGCAAACUUGAAGUGGUCUCUUGCCCUGCCAAGUAAAACAAUUUGCAUUCAUCGAUCACUUCUUGAGUGGUCAUUCCAAUACUCUUACUAUUUCCAUGUCCUUGAUUUUCGGCAUGAUUUGAUUGCAAAAGCAUGCCUAGUAAAUCGUCAUUGGUGGUUUCACCGUUCCUCAGUUCUUUUUCACGUUUUCUAAUGAUUCCCUCAAGUAAAUCACGGAUGUCUCUUUCAAUUUCUUUCAUCAUCCUCUCGUUAGUUGUUGGUAAAGGCCUGAAAAAUACAUAUAUCCAGUGUUGUUAAUUGUGAGGAAAGGCACUUGAUUAAUGUCAUAGUAUAAUAAGUGCAACAUGGUUCAAUUAAUUGCGUACUUUGAAUUACGUCUAACAACAUGUAGAAGCUUUCUAACUUGCUUCUGGUUAUGUACAAUUAAACUUGAAACAUAUUUAACAACUUUAUAUGUUAUUUUGUACCAUAAUGGAGUGUUCGUUUGUAGUUCUUUCAUCAAAAGAACUCCCUGCUUCUUCAAAAGUUGAAAUAGUUUUGUUCCUUCUGCGUAGCUGCUUCCAAAUGCUGUCCGAGAAAUUACAUCACACGUCAAAUUCUGAAGGAAAGGCCAAACAUCAAUCUCACAUGUUCCAUCUGAUGACAAUAAACCAUUCCAUUUGCUUAUCAUUUCAUUGCAACUGUGAGAAAAUGCAGGCAGCAUACCCUAUAGUAUGAAGUAAAUCAUAUAAUAAGAAGAAAAGUUAGAAAUUCAAUUUGCAAAAUUGAAAUAAUUAGCUAAGUAAUAACCUUACUUUCAAUUUUUCUAUAUGGAAUGCCGGAUUGACUAUCUUUCGAUGUGUAGCCCAUUUCUCACCCUCAUGGUGUACUAUACCAACACUCAAAUACAAGGCAAUGGGUCUUAACUUUUGUUUGGGGAAGUCCUCAGUCUUGUUAAAGACAUCCUUAAUUUGAUCAGGGUCUGUGAUGAUAACCCUUGGUAUUGUACCUUCCCAUAAAAAGGAAUUAUUUCCUGCAUAUCCUUUAUGUUAGAACAGCAAACCCAAUUCUAAAGUGAACAGAUAAAUAAACGCACAUGAAUACAAUGAUUGAUUACGGAGUUCGGCCAAUUGUGCCUACAUCCCUGAAACCAGAGUAGUGGUUGUAAUUUUUUAUUAUGCAAUCUCUUCAUUAAAAACUCUCGUUAUCCGACAAGACAAGCGUUUAGUUUUAAAAAACUCUUGUGAUACGACAAGCGUGUAGUUUAUAUUAUCUCUGACUAUCCUCAGUCUGAUCAUUUCUCAUUACUAUAAAAUCUACAUUUCUUCUCUCUACACACCAAAACCACCUAAACCCAUUUUUCACGAUCUUUUCUACUAUAGGUGCUGCCCACCCCAACUCUAUCUCUAAUUUUUCAUUUCUAAUCUUAUCUCAUAUCUUCUUAUCACACAUCCAACACAACUUCUUCAUAUCUACUACACUGAUUUUAUUCUUAUGCCAGUUCUUCACCACCUAACACUCUAUUCCAUACAGCAUCGUCAGUCUUAUAUCUAUGCGAUAAAAGUUUCCCUUCAACUUGAGUGGUACUUUCGUAUCACAUAAAACACUGAGGCUGUUGUAAUCAAAAUUUCAAGACUUUUAUGAUUUUCCUUUUAGUUAAGGAUCUAGACAUAUAUUCUACCGACCAUGAUUUGAGAUGUGUUAUCAUGAUUUUUGACAUCUCUACGACUUCAAUUGAACCCGUAGUAAACUUCCAUCGAGUGCAACAUCGAUGGCCAUGUCUACUUACGGAUUUGAUUAAGUUAUAAAUGGAGGACAACUCAUUGUUUUAUUUUUAACUCUCUUGUUCUCGAGAAAAUGCAACUCUGGUAAAUCGGAGUUCGACUAAUAUAUAGGUAAGUAAUACUUGUCUUUUGGAUUGAGUUAGAACAAAGCCCAAGUUUAGAGUCUAUCCUAAGGAAGCAAAUUUCCCCACCUCCCACAUUUCUAAAAAUUCACAUAUGUUUAUGAAAGCAUACUUCCAAACAAUAUAUUUUGUCCUAAAGUGUACUUUGGUUAAAUAAACAAAAUAGAAAGAUGUACGUACCAUAUUUAUGAAGAGUUUGAUGAAAAGGUGAGAAGAUAGAUGGAGCAGCUUCUUUGGAGAGACCAAUGAAUUUAGACUUAUCUUCGUGUUGCAACCUCAACAUAUAGUUUUGUUUUGAGUUGUCUACAAAGAAUGGAAGCUUAUAUGGUUCACCUUGAAGACCUUGAGCUUUGAGAAGUUUUUCAAACCUCUUUGGCUUAAGCCAAAAAUUGUUGAAGAGAUGCCAUGGAAUCACAGCAAGUAGAACUGUUAGAACAAAGAUGAUUAUUGUUGUUGUUGUGGGAAACACAAACACCUCCAUUUUAGUCAGCUUUGAUAUUGAAACACAUACAAAUAUUAGACUUGCACCGUUUAUGGCAUUUAUACGGUAAACAAUGUUUUUUUUAAGGAACGUUAAACAUUGUUUUGUUUUGCCACUUUUAAAAAUAUUAUAUAUAUUAAUAUAGAGUAAGACUUUUAAAAACAUAUAUAUUUCAUUAAUCACUCUGAUUACAUACAUUAACCACAAUAAUGCAAGUAACUACCUAUUUAUUUAUUUUACAUAGUUUAGAAAAAACUGAUAAAAAUAUAUAGAUUUUGUUUAUUAUAAGACGUGUUAGCUUGUGUAAGUACCACGCUACAUUUGAGUACCACGCUACAUGCGAGUACCACGCUACUAAGAUACUGUAAUUAGCUUUGCUCAUGUCGUCAUGCCUAUUUUGAAGAUCCUUUCCAUUCUCAGACAAAUGAGAUUUUACUCCUUCCAUCUCAUCUCAUACUAAUAAUUAACAUUUAACAUAGUUCAACUUUUCUACUUAACAUAAAAAAUAGUUCAAUUUUACAUAUGUCGAUAUACAUAUGACUAGGGAUGCGGAAAAAAAACUACGAGCCGAACCAUCCAACCUAACCAUCGAAUUGACCGAACCAUUAUAAUAGUUCGUGAACCGUAUAAUUAAUUUAAUAACAGUUAAUAAACCAUAACCGAACCGUUUUAAAUUCCAAACCGAACCAUUAGCAAAGCACAAACUUAAUAUUUUAAUAGUGAAGAUUUAUUUUCUCUUUUAUCAUGCAUUAUCAUUGAAAGUUGUUGAUGUUUUUGUUGAUAUUCCUAUAAUACAACUUGUAAAAUCACAAGAAAUUAAUAAAAAGUCUUGAUACUUUUUUGGAGGAUAAAAAUUCUUAACACUUGUGGCACAAUUCCAAUUUAUGAAAAAGAAUAAAAAAACAAUUUGGUUCGCAAAAGGAUAAGAAAAUACAUUUUUAUUCAAAAUAUUAUUUUAGGUUCGGUUCAAGGACAACAAAAUGGUUAACCGAACAAUAAUUUUAGUUUGGUUCGAUUCCUCGCAAAACUCAAAUGGUUCGGUUCAAUUUUUCAAACCGUUAACACGGUUUUCUUCAAAAACCGAACCAUACCCACCCCUACAUACAACUUUGACUUAUUUUGUGUGUUAAUCCCCAACUCUUAAGGGGAAAGGGGCUUACUAAUUUGAAGUUUGGUUGAAUGAAAAUGAAAUUUUGUAAAGAAUUCUUUCAUUUAUGUAUCAAAUCCAAAUUCUCUUGAACAUGCAACUUUGAAUGUUUAAUUAUUAUUAAUUAGCAAGAAAUAUAGAAAAAUGUAAUUUUGAAAAUAGUUAUUGAAACAAAUCAAACAUCCAAUAUAUAUUAACGUUUGUCUUUAUAUUUUUGUAAAAUUAAGAAUGUAUUUAUAUGUUAAUAAAAAAAAAUUGUCAAACUAGAUUAUGAGAACAUUGCACAUGAUUAAAUCGUGUCAAUUAAUUUGAGACAUAGAGUAAUAUUUAUAUGUUCUCAUAAGAGCACAAAAAGUUAUUUAUGUAAGAUUUAUUCUCAAGUUUUCUUAAACAAUUAUGUUAAUUACAGUUUUGGUUCCCUUAUUUUCAUUUGCUCACGGAAUUAGUACUUCUAUUUUAAAACCAUUCAGUUUUGGUCUAUCUUUCAAUUUUUUUUUAACUAAAUGGUGACAUGUUAUAUUUAUAUUGAAGCUUUUUUUUUUUUUUUUUUCUGUCUAGUAGCCUAGUGGUUAGAGCUCACACAAUUAAAUGUGGAGAAGUGGGGUGUCCGAGGUUUGAACCCCGGUCCCUGUAUAAAUUAUGCAAUGUCCCUACCAACUGAGUUAAGCUCACGAAGACUUUAUAUUGAAGCUUUUAAGGAGAUCUCAAGUGAUUCCAUGGGUAUUGAUCAUUAUGUGUCGUUAGAGCAUAUGACAUGUAGUUUAAAAUAUAUCACAUCACCAUAUUUUUUAGUCUAAAUAUUAGAGAAAGAGACCAAAAUUAGAUAAUUUUCAAACCAAUUUCGUGAGUAAAAAUAUGGGAGUCAAAAAUGUAAUUAAGUCUAAACUAUUCGAGUUUAAAUGAAACACAUUAGUUUAUUGAGCUUAAUUGCAUGGUUGACUAAUCAUUAUUGAUUUAAUAAAUAUAAGAAAAUAAAAUAUAUUAAUAAAAUGGGAGAUGGGUAACAAGAGUACCAGUUGUACUCCUUAAAAAACAAAAAACAAAAAAAAAAAAGAGUACUAGUUAUUGGGAAAAACCUAAGUUCAACGUCGAAUAGAUAAGACUCUCGAGAAGAGUUUAUAAAGAUGAGGCAAUCAUCACCUUACAAAUCCGGUUUUCUAAGGAUGAGUUAGGUCCCAAAUUUCAACAUGUUAUCAAAGCUUGUCGAAUUCAAGGGCCACCUACCUAUUCACGCACCAAGCCCAAAGACUGUUGGGCGUGAGGUGGGUGUAUUGGGAAAAACUCAAGUCCCACAUCGGAUAGAUAAGACUCUUGAGAAAAAUUUCAAGCCUAGUUGUACUUUAUUUCAUAGGUGGGUUUAGCCACUUGUACUUACCGUUGUACUUUGAUGCUAUCUGGGGCAUUGCAUCUGAGUUAAUCAUUUCACAUUUUUUAUAGUUUUGAUAAAACCGUUUUACUUUGAUUGCUGUACACCAUGGGAUUUUAAGCUUGCAGGCCCUGUCAUUUUAUUUGAUCAUGCAUAGUUUGAUAAUUGAUACAGUGGGAUGUGUUCAAACCAUCUUUGUUGUGGAAGGAUAGAAUAAACUUUUGCCUUGUAACUGUUUUUUCGCCGAAAAACAAAACAGGAUUGCAGCUGGCACAGGACAAAGGCCGAAAGGCAACAGCCAAACUAAAAAUAGAAGAACCCCAAAACUGUCCUCUAAAACAGGCAAACAGCAGACCAACAAAACGCCAACCUGCUGCAGAACCAUAACAGAAAACCCGUUGACAGUAACUGUUAUUCUGCUAUUAUUAUUUUAACACUUUCAUUUUACCUAAAGCUCUCUACAUUUUAUUUUCUAUUGAAACAACAUCAAUAACAAAGAGACAUCACUGCAACAACAUCAAUAACACCAGUGCAACACUAUAGACAGGUUUUGAAUAAAACAGCAAUAUAGACGAUAACACCAACACUAGCAGAAAACGAAAUCAGCAACACAGGGCAAAAUUAUGGAUAUCAGGAAUAGAAAAUAUAUCAAACACUUUUUCUAUAAUCCAACGACGCCAAAAUUGCAACAAACAAAACCAGCAAGCAGCUAUAUCAAAAUGUGACAUCCUCGUCCAGGAAAAAAAAAAACACUAAUCACCUGUCUAUACAAUUUCUUUAAAGAUGGUGAACCAGCUUCGAUCUUAACAGCAAAAAUAAUUAAAGAAAAACUCAACAAUUUCCUUUUUUUCAAUAUAAAGCUUCAGGUUUUUGAACCCUUUAAUGACAACAGUGUCGUGGAACAUGAUCAGUUUUCGGCUACAACUGAAGACCAAACUCAACAUUAAUUCAUAAACAAGCCAACCUUAAUAUUGGAGAAAAAUUGUCCAAAUUCAAAAACUCAUACCUGUGGUUUCUUACAUAAAGCAAUAGUGUCUUAAUUUAAAGAAACUCGUGUUUCCAAAAUCAUCACCUAAAAAAGUUAACCUACUAAGUAACUCCAUUGGAUGUGCUCUUACAGUUUAUGCAAAAUGAUGCUUGCCCCAUUUUUUGGCUGCAAAGUAAGCACCGUGGUAGGAACAUGCACAUAAUUUGGAGAAAGUUCGAAUGAGAAAUUCUGCAGCAACAAUGAUACUGCUAUCUUUGCUUCUAAUAAGGCAAAGUUUUGUCCAAGACAAAUUCUAGGACCCCAUCCAAAAGGGAAAUAAGAAACUUGUCCUUUUGUUGCCUUCGCAAUUCCUUCAGCAAACCUUUCAGGUUUGAACUCCUUUGCAUCAUCACCCCAUAGAUCAUGAUCUUGGUGAAUCAAUAGUAUUGGUAGGGAAAUUUGUGUUCCUUCAGGUAGCAAAAGGUUUCCAAGUUUCAAAUCCUUUCGAAGAGCUCGGUUGAAGUAAAUUAAAGGUGGGAAUAACCUUAGUACCUCGUACAAAAUCAUGGUAACCUACAGAAACAAAAACAAUUAUCAGAUAGUACCAAAAAGGAUUAUGUAUUAAUAAUCAUCAAAAUGAAAUUGUGUGAUUAAAAAUGAUCUUCUUGUGUCAAAUUUUCAUGUGACAUUGUUAAGGGUGAUUAUGUAUCUCGCUCUUUUAACAAUUGAAAUGAUCUACCCUAAUUUCCUUAUUGGAUGAAUUUCCACUACCUAGAUGGGAUUCAAACUUCAUCUCCUACCUAGGUCAACUUAUUUUUUACAAGGUUCAAACCAGAAAACUCAAAUUUGAUAGUACAUCUGCACACAUUCAAUCACUUCUGACCUAGUGCAGCAUCAUUAAGCCAACUCACAAGUGCAAACCCCGCUAUGGUUAUGAUUCACCCCUUUAAUAUCAGUGAAGAGAAAGAUAAAUACAAAACUACAUGUGAUAAGAUCAUUUGAAAUUUGAACAAUACAUACAAUUUUAAGUUGACUUAAUCCUUCGUUGUUAGGAUUUUGGUUCCCAAAAACUUGCAAAACUUCCUCCCUUGCACGUGCUUGCCAUUCAGGAUACCUGCCUAAUAACACCAUUGUCCAAACCAGCAAACUUUAAGUCGUCUCUUGCCCAGCAAGGUAAAACAAUUUGCAUUCAUCUAUCACAUCUUGGGUGGUCAUCCCAAUAUUCUUACUAUUUCCAUGUCCUUGUUUUUCGGCAUGAUUUGAUUGCAAAAGAAUGCCUAAUAAAUCGUCAUUGGUGGUUUCACCAUUCUUCAGUGCUUUUUCUCGUUUUUCAAUGAUUCCCUCAAGUGAAUCAUGGAUUUCUCUAUCAAUUUCUUUCAUCUUCGUCUUGGUAGUUGUUGCUAGAAGCCUAGAAAACACAUUUAUUUACUGAUGUUAAAUGAGAAGGAACGCACUUGGUUAAUAGUAUUAUAUUAUAAUAAAUGCAACGCAAUUCAUUUCAUUAGGUAUUUUGGAUUAAGUCUAACUCAACCAUACAGAUUUGUUGGGUAAAAUGAGUGGUACUCUUCUUUAUAAACUUUUUUCAGACUUUUUUUUCGAAGUCGGACAUGGGAUUUUGUUGAGUGUCUAAAGUUUUCAAAAACUAGAUCUAAAAUAUAACUUGGGAUAGGAAUACACUAAAACAAAAUAUGUAGUUAUAAAUCAAGUUUCUGGCACAUUCAUUAUUUAGACCUCGUGUGUCCCAUGGUUCUUCCGUCUAGCAUGUGAUGUUUCAGACAACGAAGACUACAGACAUGUAGACAUCAUUCACUCACAGGCAUAAUGGCAGGCUAACAACAUAUAGAAGCUUUCAAGUUUAUAUUUUAUUUUGCACUAGAGACUAUUUUCCUUGUCAAUAAAUAAUAAUGCGUAUGUCGUUCCCAAACAAGAAUAUACUUUCAAUUUGUCAAAUGUACCAAAAUGAUAUAUUGUGGUCAUACCCCCAUAAUGGAUUGUUCGUGUGUCGCCCUGUCAUCAAAAGAAAUCCCUGCUUCUUUAGAAGUUGAAAUAGUUUUGUUCCUUCUGCGUAGCUGCUUCCAAAUGCUGUCCGAGAAAUUACAUCACAGGUAAAAUUCUGAAGGGAAGGCCAAACAUCAAUCUCACAUGUUCCAUCUGAUGACAAUAAUCCCUUCCAUUUGCUUAUCAUUUCAUUGCAACUGUGAGAAAAUGCAGGCAGCAUAACCUAUAGUUUGAAGUAAAUCAUAUUAUAAGAAUAAAAAUUAGAAAUUUAAUUUACAAAAUUGCAAGAAUUAAUUAAAGCAAUAACCUUACUUUCAAUUUUUCUAGGUGGAAUGCUGGAUUGGCGAUCUUCCUAUGUUUAGCCCAUUUCUUACCCUCAUGAUCUAGUAUACCAACGUUCAAAUACUUGGCGAUGGAUCUUAGUUUUGGUUUGGGGAAGUCAUCAAUCUUGUUAAAGACAUCCUUAAUUUGAUCAGGGUCUGUGAUGAUAACCCUUGGUAUUGUACCUUCCCAUAAAAAGGAAUUCUUUCCUGCAUAUCCUUUAUGUUAGAACAACAAACCCAACUCUAAAGCAAACAGAUAAAUUAAAGCAUAGGAAUACAAUGCUUGAUUACAAAGUUCUACCAAUUGUGUCUACGUCUCUGAGAGCAAUGUGGCAGUUGUAAUUUUCUAUUGUGCAAUGCUUAAGAUUUACAUAGUACAAGAUGUGUUUAAAUACUUCCCUGCGCUCGUUGCACUUUCAGCUCUUCUGGCUCUGUUAUGCUAGAGCCUCUUCCUACUUAUCAGUGCAUAUAAUUCAUACUUAACACUUCACUUAUCAGUAACUUAUGGAGGACUUGAUAUCAAUUUGUGAUUUAAUAUUAACAUCAAUCAAGUCCGUAUCAUGUUUGGUCCUUGCAUCUGAUAAUAUAAACACAAACUCCUCCAGAACUCCGUUCUUUUCUUUUCAGUUACACAGGCAUAUUAACUAUGGCAUCAAAAAAUCAAAUCUCUAGACAUUUCUGAUUUUCUUGUUAAUAUCAGAUAUUCAAACAAAGUUUUAAAAAGUGUCUGUGACUGUGAUUUGAGUUGCAAUAUCAAAAUUUUGGAUAUUUCUUUGACCACAAUGGAGGCCACAUCAACUACACAUCACCACAAUAUCAAUGAUAGCACAUUGAUUGAGUUAUAAAUGGUGGACAACUUGUUAAGCUAGCUUCUGCACUGAGCUAGGACAACUCCCAAAUUCGAAGUCUAUCCUAAGGGCCGACUUUCUCCACUCCAAGUUUCUAAAAAUCCACAAAUAUUUUUGGAAAUGUACUUCCGGAAAACAUAUUUUGUCCGGCUUUCGAACAAACACAAAAUUCAUGCCUUUUUCCUACUGUAUACGUCUAGGGGUUGUGAAUAGUUCCUUCCUUAUCAUGAAUCUGUUGUCGGGGGUAGGGCUUUUUUUAAAUGACAGAUGUUAGGAUGUUGAUUGUUAGGUUAGUAUGUUCUCCUCAAACCUGACUUUAACUCCUCUUAGCUCAACCAAGUGAGCUACCCAUCCCUCCAAAGGGAGGUAGGGCUUGUUUUUCUUUUAUAAAUUAUACGCAAGCUAUAAAAUAUUGGCUUAAAUGUAUUUUUUACCCUUUAACUUUUAGAUUGGUGUAUAAACAAAAUAGAAAGUAAGAUUAGUAUAUGUACCAUAUUUGUGUACAGUUUGAUGAAUAGGAGUGAAGAUAGACGGUGCAGCUUCUUUGGAGAGACCAAUGGAUUUAGAUUUAUCUUCUUGUUGCAACUUCAACAUAUAAUUUUGUCUUGAUUUAUCCUUAAAUACUGAAAGGUUAUAUGGUUCACCUUGAAAACCUUGAGCUUUGAGAAGUUUCUCAAACCUCUUUGGCUUAAGCCAUAACUUGUUGAGAAGAUACCAUGGAAUCACAGCAAGUAGAACUGACAGAACAGAGAUGAUUAUUGUUGUUCCUGUGGGAAACACAAACACCUCCAUUUUAUGUUUUUGUCUUGGAAUUGGAUUGUGUCUUGUUGUGUUGUGUAAAAAGGUCAUUAAAGAGAUAUCUAAGGUGGUGGGGUCAUUCAAGUUCAACAGGGACACGUACACGUCUUUUCCAUUUUCCAUGUUGAAAAAAUAAGAGAGAGAAAAGAAAGGCUGAUGCCUGAUUGUCUCAAUUUAGUGUCUUAAUUAUAAUUUAUAUUAAUUUGGUCUCCUAUAUUUUUUACUAGUUUUAGUCCUUUAUGGUAGUUUCUCUAUAAAAAAAACGUUAACUUAUGUAUUAAAUUGAUCCCCGUUUUGCUUCGUUUUUAAUUUUAGUCCUUUCUGUUCACUUUUUUUUUGAGAGAAACUAAUGGAAAGUAUUAAAACCAGUAACGGAGCAAAUCAUAGAGGACCAAAUUAAUACAAAUUAUAGUUAGGGGAUCAAAUUGAGAGUGAUUUAACAAGCAAAAAAAACUUACCACUCUAAUAGUAAUAUAUCUAUUAAAAAAAGUGUUCGAUGUAUCUAGUUUACAAUAUUAUUUAUUAAAUAAAUUUACAAAGUUUGUACAUAGAAAAUAGGGUUAAUUAUAGAAAUUGAAUAUAUGUUAAGUUUAAAAAUGAUCUUGUAAAAUAAAAAGUAUAUAUUUUAAUAUUGUAAUUUGAGAUUCUUAUUAUUUUUGACUUUGUAAUAUAGUUGAAGUCCAAAAAAUUAUUUAGAGAUUGAAUUUUUUCAUGAUUUUUUUCACGUAUGUUUGGGACGUUAAAAUAUGACUUUACACAAAAAAAAUAAAAAAUUUCAACCGUGGAUGAAUCAAUUAUGAAUUUUUAAAGCGCCAAAAACUCAAAAAACAGAACAACGAAAACUUCAAUCUAGAAAUUGAAUUUUGAGUUGAUUGUUUGCAGAGACAUAUGCAGAUAUACAUAAAAAAGAUCUACAAAGUUUGGUACCAUUUUAAAGACGUUUCAAUUUAUUUUUAUUUUCAACCAAAACGUGUGAAAUAACAAUUUUGUUCCGGGUAAACGUAUACUCAUAGAUCAGGUUCAGUUCUCUAAUUUUGUAGGCAUGGUUAAAAUUUCAUAAGAACAUUCACCAUUAAAAUUAAAUUUUGGAGUUUUUAAACGAGAUACGAAUUAAUUAUGAAUUGUUUAAGAAAUUUUAUAGUUAUGGGAAAUAAAAAUUUGUCCCUAGUCUGAAAAAAUAUAUAUUUUUUUUUUUUGGUGUAAAAUCAUGUUUUAACAUCCUAAAGAUGCUUUUGAUUUGUUCAAAAAAAACAUCCUAAAGAUGCAUGGAAAAAAAAUCAUUAAAAAAUUCAAUCUCUACACCAUUUUUUCGGACCAUGCCUAUAUUAUAGGGUCAAAAAUAAGAAGUAUCUCAAAUUACAAGUUUGGAAUAUGUAUUUUUUUAUUUUACAAUGUCAUUUUUCAGACAUCGCAUAUUUCACAGAGUCAAAAUUAAAUAAUUAACCAAAAAUAAUAAUAUAAAAAGUAAACUUUCUUUUAUAAUACAUAUCGAAGAGACAUGUGUCUAAAUACCACAUGUGCCCGCGGCAAGAUAGUGGGUAUACACCGUUGCGGGUAAGGUUCCCUCGGUUAUUUGAGUUGGCGGUGGAGAAGGAGACUAAGGUCGAGGAGAUGAGGAGGAGGGGGUGGGACGUUAAUGGCAGGGCGUGGGUGUGGAGACGUCGUUUGUUUGUUUCGAAGGAGGAGAGUGUGAGGGAGUGUGCAACUCUUUUAUGCAACAUUGUUUUGCAGGACACUGUUCAAGACUCUAGGAGGUGGUUACUAGAUCCGGUUCAAGGGUAUUCGGUGAAAGCAUCAUAUCGUUUUAUUACAGAAACAGGCGCUACUGCGGACAGGUCUUAGGUUGAUGUUGUUUGGCCAAAGCAUGUACCGUCAAAGGUGUCUUUAUUGAUGUGGCGUCUUCUCCGCAACCGGCUUCCUACUAAAGAUAAUUUGGUUCAACGGGGUAUUCUUAUUCCAAGAGAUGGCAUGUGUGUGGGUGGUUGUAAUGUUAUAGAAUCAGCUACUCACCUUUUUUUAGCAUUGUAAUACUUUUAGUGCCUUGUGGUCUAAUGUGAGGACUUGGUUGGGAAUUUAUUCGAUGUUUCCUAGUGAGCUUCGACAACAUUUUAUUCAGUUUACCAGGAUGUCUUGCUUGCCAAGGUCGGUACAUUUAUUCUUAACAGUUAUUUGGUUUGCUACUAUUUGGGUGACUUGGAAGGAACAAAAUUAUCGUAUGUUUCAAAACACAACAGCUACUUCAUCGAUCAUUCUUGAAAAAGUCAAGUUGGAUUCUUUUUUAUGGUUGAAAUCUAAACAGGUAGCAUCUUGUGCGAUUUGAAAACACCUUUUAAUGGGCAAUUUGACAUUGUAAUUUUGUAACUUUGGUGGUGUGUCUCUUUUGCGCAUCUUUGUGCGAUUGAAAACACCUUUAAGUAUAUAUAUAUAUCAUUUUGAUUUGUUAAAAAAAUAUAUAAUGGAUAGUUUGUUUUGAAUUUUUUUAAAGAAAAAAAUUUAUUUUAUAAACAAAAAACGACUUUUAUGAUUUGUAGUGUUUUUUUUUUUAAGAUAUUUCAUUUUGUUUUUUGCUAUGAACUUGAAGAAAUUAUAAAUAGUCAUUCAAAUUCAAGCAUUAUCACAUACACUUUAAAGGUCUUUAAAUGUUAUAAUGUGGCUUAGGUUAAGACAGAAUAUAUUUAAAAAAGUAGCCUAACAAAAGAUGUGGAUUUAGAUACAAGCUACAAAUCUUCAAGAACGAAAAAGUACUACCAAAAUUUUAUUUCUUGGUUUUCCUUUUUUUCUUUUUUUUGUGUUGACCAAUUUUUGAUAGUUUAGUCUGCAAUUAUUUUUUUCUUUUUUCAUUUUUUUUAUUAGGAAAAUAUUUAUUCCACUAUUCUUGAUAUGUCCGUCUGCAUAUGAUAAGAUAUUUAUUCCACUUUGAUCCUUGACAAAAUCCAAAUCAUUGCAGCAAGAUCAGCAGCUAUCUAUUAUGAUCUCAAAUAACACCUCAUCCAGGAAAAAAAGUGACAACCAACAAGCAUCAACAUCAAAAAAAAUUGACAACCUCGUCCAGGAAAAAAAAUCAUAUUGGAGCAAUAUUAAUUCAUAAACAACCCAACCUUCAUAUUGGAGCAAAAUUUGUCCAAAUUCAUAAACUCAUACCUGUGGUUUCUUAUACAAAUCAAUAUGUCUUAAUUUAAAGAAACUCAUGUUUACAGAUAAAUCACCUAAAAGAGUAAAGCUACUGAAUAACUCCAUUGGAUGUGCUCUUACAGUUUAUGCAAAAUGAUGCUUGCACCAUUUUUUGGCGUCAAAGUAAGCACAGUGGUGGGAACAUGCACAUAAUUUGGAGAAAGUUCGAAUGAGAAAUUCUGCAGCAGCAAUGAAAUUGCUAUCUUUGCUUCUAGUAAGGCAAAGUUUUGUCCAAGACAAAUUCUAGGACCCCAUCCAAAAGGGAAAUAAGAAACUUUUCCUUUUGUAGCCUUUGCAAUUCCUUCAGCAAACCUUUCAGGUUUGAACUCCUUUGCAUCAUCACCCCAUAGAUCAUGAUCUUGGUGAAUCAAUAGUAUUGGUAGGGAAAUUUGUGUUCCUUCAGGUAGCGAAACGUUUCCAAGUUUCAAAUCCUUUCGAAGAGCUCGGUUGAAGUAAAUUAAAGGUGGGAAUAACCUUAGUACCUCAUACAAAAUCAUGGUAACCUAUAAAAACAAAAACAAUUAUUAGAUAGUACCAAAAAGGAUUAAGUAUUAAUAAUCAUCAAAAUGAAAUUUGAACAAUACAUACAAUUUUAAGUUGAUUUAAUCCUUC